GUUACUGUCCCGCGAACCCACAUCCCUACAAAGCAGGAAAGUAUGCUUGGGAGAGGCCAAGUGAGUGGGGAAUCAGCCCAAAGCCAGGCAUCCAGGGUCUCCCUCACCUGAAGCUGACUUUUUCCCCACCUUGGACAGAGGGCGGGAGAUGCCAUCCCCACUGAACCCAGUGCUUUCACCAGCCAUAUUAGCUCCCACUCACCCCCCGUCGUGGAAGCCUCGGCCGUCACACCUGCAGGGCCGGGGCGUGCAUGGCCUCAGGGAUGGCCUGUUCAGCUGCUGGGUGACUCAGGUCCAGGUGCCUCACCACCUGCUGAGCUCUGUGUGAUUUCUGGACACUUCUGCUGAUUGCCUUUGGGCUCAGUGAAGAGUCUGGAGUUUAUCUGGAGUGAGGUGGCCGGGUCUUGGUGGGAUCUGAGCAGGCUGGACGCUUCAUGGAGGGCUCCAAAGCUGGCAGAUCCCGGGGCCGCCUCUGUCUCUCCCAGGCCCUGCGUGUUACGGUGAGAGGAGCAUUUGUGUCUCUGUGGUUUGCUGCUGGAACUGGUGACCGGGAGAGAAACAAGGGAGACAAGGGUGUCCAGACAGGUGUGGGGCUCAGCCAGGAGGCAGAAGACGUGGACGUGUCCCGGGCCA
rnacentral:sRNA from 1 species